GUUAUGUCAGGAAUAUCAUCAUAUGUAAUCCUUACACAAUUGUGUGAGAAAGGUCCAUUUGCCUUCCUUAACUCUCCUCCAGCAAGAGGUAAUUAUGAGUUACAGCAGUUUUGAAGAUAUUCAAAGCUCAUCCUAUCUCUCCUAGCUCAGCAAUUAGGUACUCUACAUUUCAAUGAAUAUCUAAAUUCCUUUUACUAGGCAUGGUAUCUGAAGACUAAAGUAGGCUGACUACAACCAU
rnacentral:lncRNA from 1 species